rnacentral:snRNA from 2 species
CAAAUUUCUUUGCUGGGUGUUUAAUUUGGAGUGUGAAGAGUGCAAUUAACCCUCCGCACCACCAGGGACCGCUAGUGAAACGCUGUGUUUCCUAACUGGUUGUGCUGACCCCUGCGAAUUCCCCAAAUGUGGGAAUCUCGACUGCAUAAUUUCUGGUAGUGGGGGACUGCAUUCGCGCUCUCCCCUG